GCUGGGUUGGACAAGUAGGUUAAGUCAUUACAUUUUCAAUGUAAUAAUCAGGAGUUCGAGUCUCCUACCCAGUA
rnacentral:tRNA from 1 species